rnacentral:lncRNA from 1 species
CGACAGACUUGUUUGCCGUCGCCUUCCCCAGGCCGUGACAGGGGGGCUUUUGGCUUCUGAGGAGUUCGUUUUCUUCCUCCAGAGCUCCGGAGCGGCGACGCAGGCCAGCGCACGGCCCUCACAGCAAUGGAGAACCUGAAUGUCUCGCUCCCAGAUCUUACYGAAGACCUGCAAGACAUUUUUCAGGGGGCUUUUGCUGCUGAUGCCAGUUACUUGGAGAACCAUGAGRAAAUGGAUCAGUCCUUCUGGGAAGCUCUCGUAAAAUGUUUAGCCACCGCUGACCCAGCUAUCCUGAAUACCGAAGAAGAAAACAAUUUGCUCAACAGAUGCACUGUCCUGCCUGGAGGCUSUGCAGCCUGCCUGAAAGUCAUAGGGAAGAAAGGAGCCAGGGCAAUGGCUCUUCUUUACCUGUUGCUGAAGACAACYGACCCGUCUGAAUACAGGCAGCUGCCCAGCUCCAAGGGAAAGGGUGAGUCCUG